rnacentral:lncRNA from 1 species
ACAUCAGUAGGAGGGGAAGGAGGAAGGAAGGAGAAGAAAGAGGAAGAAUAGGAGGAGAAGAGGAAGAGAGGAAGAAGUCGUGAACAGCCCUCCUGCAUUUUGCAUCAGGUAGAAAAGUCAGUUGAAUGUUGGGAAGAACACAAAUACUCACACAUCCUCCCCAUUCUCUGAGUUCCCACAAAGACUGUUAUUGCUGGGGCUCAUAAAAUUAUACUCCAAAGUAUGAUGCUUUGGCAUCCAGAGUGCUUUGAACUAUAGGAGAUUGAAGGCCCCAGAAGCCAAGUUUCCCUCUGACCUCCUGCCUCCCUGUCUCCCACCCCCUACUUUUCCCCUGAAGUGAGUCCUGGAAACCAGAAUUCUUCUUGCCCAAAGCAAGCCGUGACACCCUGGAAAUAUCACUCUAACCUUCCUUGCCUUUCCGUGUGGCAGCUGGCCAUGAAGAAAUUCUCUGACCUACCUUGUUUGAUAGCAGAUCACAAGACCCUGGUUCCAGAGCGGUCCUGCUUUACACCGAAGGAAAGGAAUGUCAUACAGAAAGGCCAAGAAGAAUCUGAAGAGAUGUCCAAUCACCUUUUCACGUGGCUGCCCAUUCUUCAUUGAACCUAAGCAUUAAAAUAGACAGUUUCCCCUGGGUCUUUGGGUCUUCAUUUCUGAAGACUCCAUGUCAUGUAAAACUUUGAUUAAAUAAAUGUAUCAUGCAUUA